AUGCGCGACCAACCGUCCAACUUAUUUUCACGUGGGAGUACAUUAUAUCGACGCCCUUUUAAUUUACAAGGAAUGGCUGAGAAGCACGGAUUUAUUUUCAUGGGCACAAAAAUAAUAAUCAAGACCUUAGCAGACUGGUUGUACCUUGAUGAGAGUGUGCUUUCAGGUCAUAUUCUCACUUUUACCAGCCUUCACCCAUCACUGUCUCUCACAAUUUGCUCCAGAUUGUUCAUACGCAUUUCAUCGAUUGAUAGCACCAGCAAAACAGAGCACGGCUAUUGCUACUUGUCUCUGUAUAUCCUAGAUACAGGGUUAUAG
rnacentral:rRNA from 1 species